ensembl:lncRNA
CAAUAUCAAAGUUUUAUUCUUAAAAUGUAGUAUAGAGAGGAACAGUAGUACAAUUGAGACAGAAAAAAGGAGAAUGUAGGCUAGUUCCAUAUCUUCGAAAACCUUUGAUAAAAACGUAAAAAGAGUAACCUGAAUUGUUGCUUUGUGUUCGGAAGGGACUGAGGUGUGGCCCGGGGUCUUGCAUCACCGCGAAAGUUCGCGAGAAAUUGAAAAAUACAACCUUUGUUUUUUGCGACAGCGUAAAAAAAUACAGCCGGGAAAAAAACCUCUUUAUAUCUGUAGUGUUUGUUUGUAUUUUGUGUUUUGUGUCCUUUUAACAAAUACAGCAUAAAAAGUCUAAAAACAAUAACAUCAAGGGUUUUUUCUUAGCUUUCAUCCGUUACAGUAAAAUCAGUAGGAUGGUGUGUGUAUAUAUAUUUAUAUAUAAAAACAAAAACAAAAUUUGGAUAACCGGAUGGCAUGGUAUGGUAUGACAAGCACACAAGUGACAACAAAGCGGAAAGGUCAAAGAUCACGGAACAACCACCUCAGGGGUGUGGAGAGCUAACUGUGAACCUGUCCCAUAGAGGAAACACACUAGUUAAAUAUCUUAUUUAUAUAUACCUUCUGCUUUUAUAAUCUCUCUUUAUAUGUAUACAUAUAUAUAUUCAUUUAUAUAUAUCCAUUAUAUAACUCCACCCUGUGAUUUCUUUAGGGGUCAAUGUACUAGAGGAAGCGAUCUCUAUGCUUUAAUAAAAUACAUCUUUCAAUAGAGCAAUCGAGUGAAGCCACACACCGUGCGUCAGUAGCACUUCAUCACAUAUAAUCCACUGCAGAAACAGACAUAAAUGGCCAUCCGAGGUCUCAACCCGCAAACAAUCUGUGUGUUCUUUAGAAAAUAUGUGCUUAAUGAAUAAAAAGAGACAGAACACAUCUGUAGAAAGGACAAAAAGCGAUAUACGCAUCGAGGGUAAAGUGAAUGAUUCUGUAGCAUAAAAACAGGAAAACAAAUCUCAACAAUUACAGACACAAGCAAGGGUCCUCUACGCUAUAAAAGUUGUCAGCUGGCUUUUCUCAUACAUUUCAACAAUAAUUACAAAAAAAAAACAAUUUUGGUUGGACAAAUAGAAAUUAACAGUCUUGAUUGCAUUUUGGAGUCAACACAUUUAUAUAUAUAUAUAUAAUAUUAAAUAACAAAACAAAAAGUGUAAUAAAAAAACUAAAGUUGCGCAUUGGAGGAAGAGCGCAACAGUUUGUAUAUAUAUAUCCAUUUAAAUAUAUAUAGUUCCAUUCAGACCUGCUUCAGCGAAAGCAAAAGAGACUCAAGAACAUAAAAACAAAUGAUUUUCAUGAACGCAAAAAAGUUAAGUGCAUGUCUAUGAGGGGCCAUAGAGCUUCACUUUAUGCGGAACAAAGUGUUUUUCUGCCUGGCAGAGCUAAACAAAAACGAAAAAGAAAAAGAAAAACAUUUCUAGCCCAAUUCAAUUCAACAAUUGAUAAAAAGUUAAAAAAUAAACAUAACGAACGAAAAAAAGGAAAAAAGGAUUUGAACUUGGUUUUGUGAACGGCUUGUUGGUCCGAUCCGUUAAGUGUUGGGGAACGUUUUAACCAUAGCUCAGUACCCAAUAGACAACCAUGUAUCAGGUAGAGCGGUCCGCUUAGGUCCAUGACAACUUACUGCCCGAGGUUUUACAAAAUGGUAUGCGUGUGCAUUAAAUGAAAGCUUUUUUUUGUAGAAAAAGAAUCGAUGGCAAAGCAUACCUGAUAGUCGCCGUAGCAAAACAGUGUUCUAUAGUUUAAGCUGAUUACACGUAGAUCUAUAUAUAUAUAUAUAUAACUGAGUCAGUUUAAGCGUUAUGAUUAUUAUCAUAUACAGCCUGUAGGUCCAGUAUUUUGCGACAAAGCGUUACAGCACCAAACGUUUUUUUCGUCAUUUGGCAAAAUUCAAGCUUUAAGUGAAAGUCAAAAUGCUUUAUUUUUUUUAAAUAUAAUAAAGUGUUACUGUGACGCUGUGAUUUGUAUAAAGCUAGCAAUAACAUUUUCCCCUUGUACUUUCAUUUUCUUUUUGCAUCUCUU